CCUGGCACAGUGGCCACAAGCGCAGACAGACGAGGGCUCACGCAUGCUCUCCCGGAUACUGUCUCUGCUUCCUGUGGGACAGGUGG
rnacentral:miRNA from 1 species